rnacentral:rRNA from 1 species
AGCGAACGCUGGCGGCAGGCCUAACACAUGCAAGUCGAACGAACUCUUCGGAGUUAGUGGCGGACGGGUGAGUAACACGUGGGAACGUGCCUUUUGGUUCGGAAUAACUCAGGGAAACUUGUGCUAAUACCGAAUGUGCCCCUCGGGGGAAAGAUUUAUCGCCAUAGAGCGGCCCGCGUCUGAUUAGCUAGUUGGUGAGGUAACGGCUCACCAAGGCGACGAUCAGUAGCUGGUCUGAGAGGAUGACCAGCCACACUGGGACUGAGACACGGCCCAGACUCCUACGGGAGGCAGCAGUGGGGAAUCUUGCGCAAUGGGCGAAAGCCUGACGCAGCCAUGCCGCGUGAAUGAUGAAGGUCUUAGGAUUGUAAAAUUCUUUCACCGGGGACGAUAAUGACGGUACCCGGAGAAGAAGCCCCGGCUAACUUCGUG